UACGUAGGGGCCAAGCGUUGUCCGGAGUUACUGGGCGUAAAGCGCGCGCAGGUGGCUCACUGCGCCCGGCGUGAAAGCCCCCGGCCUAACCGGGGAGGGUCGUCGGGGACGGGUGAGCUUGAGGGUAGCAGGGGCUGGUGGAAUUCCCGGUGUAGUGGUGAAAUGCGUAGAGAUCGGGAGGAACACCCGUGGCGAAGGCGGCCAGCUGGGCUACACCUGACACUGAGGCGCGAAGGCGUGGGGAGCGAACGGG
rnacentral:rRNA from 1 species